rnacentral:rRNA from 1 species
UACGUAGGGUGCGAGCGUUAAUCGGAAUUACUGGGCGUAAAGUGUGCGCAGGCGGCCGAGCAAGUCGAGUGUGAAAGCCCCGAGCUUAACUUGGGAACUGCGCUCGAAACUACUUGGCUGGAGUGUGGCAGAGGAAGGUGGAAUUCCACGUGUAGCGGUGAAAUGCGUAGAGAUGUGGAGGAACACCGAUGGCGAAGGCAGCCUUCUGGGCCAACACUGACGCUCAUGCACGAAAGCGUGGGGAGCAAACAGG